AUUGAACGCUGGCGGCAGGCCUAACACAUGCAAGUCGAGCGGAUGAAGGGAGCUUGCUCCUGGAUUCAGCGGCGGACGGGUGAGUAAUGCCUAGGAAUCUGCCUGGUAGUGGGGGAUAACGUCCGGAAACGGGCGCUAAUACCGCAUACGUCCUGAGGGAGAAAGUGGGGGAUCUUCGGACCUCACGCUAUCAGAUGAGCCUAGGUCGGAUUAGCUAGUUGGUGGGGUAAAGGCCUACCAAGGCGACGAUCCGUAACUGGUCUGAGAGGAUGAUCAGUCACACUGGAACUGAGACACGGUCCAGACUCCUACGAGAGGCAGCAUUGGGGAAUAUUGGACAAUGGGCGAAAGCCUGAUCCAGCCAUGCCGCGUGUUGGAAGAAGGUCUUCGGAUUGUAAAGCACUUUAAGUUGGGAGGAAGGGCAGUAAGUUAAUACCUUGCUGUGUUGACGUUACCAACAGAAUAAGCACCGGCUAACUUCGUG
rnacentral:rRNA from 1 species